rnacentral:rRNA from 1 species
UACGUAGGGGGGCUAGCGUUGUCCGGAAUCAUUGGGCGUAAAGAGCGUGUAGGCGGCCCGGUAAGUCCGCUGUAAAAGUCAAAGGCUCAACCUUUGAAUGUCAGUGGAUACUGCCGGGCUAGAGUCCGGAAGAGGCGAGUGGAACUCCUGGUGUAGCGGUGGAAUGCGCAGAUAUCAGGAAGAACACCAACGGCGAAGGCAGCUCGCUGGGGACGGUACUGACGCUGAGACGCGAAAAGCGUGGGGAGCGAACAGG